rnacentral:rRNA from 1 species
AAAGGCGCGCGAUACAGGGUGACAGCCCCGUACACAAAAAUGCACAUGCUGUGAGCUCGAUGAGUAGGGCGGGACACGUGGUAUCCUGUCUGAAUAUGGGGGGACCAUCCUCCAAGGCUAAAUACUCCUGACUGACCGAUAGUGAACCAGUACCGUGAGGGAAAGGCGAAAAGAACCCCGGCGAGGGGAGUGAAAAAGAACCUGAAACCGUGUACGUACAAGCAGUGGGAGCACGCUUAGGCGUGUGACUGCGUACCUUUUGUAUAAUGGGUCAGCGACUUAUAUUCUGUAGCAAGGUUAACCGAAUAGGGGAGCCGAAGGGAAACCGAGUCUUAACUGGGCGUUAAGUUGCAGGGUAUAGACCCGAAACCCGGUGAUCUAGCCAUGGGCAGGUUGAAGGUUGGGUAACACUAACUGGAGGACCGAACCGACUAAUGUUGAAAAAUUAGCGGAUGACUUGUGGCUGGGGGUGAAAGGCCAAUCAAACCGGGAGAUAGCUGGUUCUCCCCGAAAGCUAUUUAGGUAGCGCCUCGUGAAUUCAUCUCCGGGGGUAGAGCACUGUUUCGGCAAGGGGGUCAUCCCGACUUACCAACCCGAUGCAAACUGCGAAUACCGGAGAAUGUUAUCACGGGAGACACACGGCGGGUGCUAACGUCCGUCGUGAAGAGGGAAACAACCCAGACCGCCAGCUAAGGUCCCAAAGUCAUGGUUAAGUGGGAAACGAUGUGGGAAGGCCCAGACAGCCAGGAUGUUGGCUUAGAAGCAGCCAUCAUUUAAAGAAAGCGUAAUAGCUCACUGGUCGAGUCGGCCUGCGCGGAAGAUGUAACGGGGCUAAACCAUG